UACGUAGGUGACCAGCGUUGUCCGGAUUUACUGGGCGUAAAGAGCUCGUAGGCGGCCUGUUGCGUCCGCUGUGAAAUCCCGGGGCUCAACCCCGGGCGUGCAGUGGAUACGGGCUGGCUGGAGGCAGGCAGGGGGAGAACGGGAAUUCCUGGUGUAGCGGUGAAAUGCGCAGAUAUCAGGAGGAACACCGGUGGCGAAGGCGGUUCUCUGGGCCUGUACUGACGCUGAGGAGCGAAAGCGUGGGGGAGCGAACAGG
rnacentral:rRNA from 1 species